CUUAUCUUUCUUUCUCUCCACCUGCUGCUAAAGAACACCAAGCUGAGCAUCAGCACUUUUUCAGUCUAAUUCUCUCCUCCCCACUAAGAAUUAGAGUGUAAUGCCUCUUAUAAUACAAAUUCUGGUUGGAAGAAAAAGAUCUAGAUUGUG